rnacentral:lncRNA from 1 species
GGUAAUGACAACCUUUCUAGCAGUGGCCAAGCUCAGGUAAUCAUUAAUUAAUUAGUACUCUAUAUAUUGAUAAUAAUUACUAAAGAUUGAUCCAUAUUUAAACUAAAGUUCUGUUUUUUCCCAAUUGCAGAUGAGAAAAGAUAGCUCAAACGCACCUUCUGAUGUCCAUAAUCAGGGCCAAAGGCCUAAGUUUCUUCAAGAGGUAAUUUAUAAUACACCUUUAAUUUCUCACUAAAUUGUAGCUGUGCAUCAGGGAUUUAGAACAGGAUUCAACAUAUAUAUAUAUAUAUAUAUAGUAAUUUAUUAAAUUUUUUAAUAAAUAUUAGAGUUGAACUCAUAAUUUUAACAUUUUAAGUAAUAAAUUUAGUACCGAAAUUUUAAGUAAAUAUAUUCAAUUUAAAGCCUAAAUUCAUAUCUAAUUUACUCUCAAUUGCUUUGAUCUGAACUCUUAUAUGUGUUCAAUAUCCUGAAUAUUAAAUUUACAAAAUCAGUAACUUAAAUGAUUAGUGAGUUCAGUUCAAUAAUACCCUAAAUUUAUGAAGUUCGAAAUUUUGAAUCCGUCUGUGUUAAUAGUAGUUAGGUUCGAAUUGUAUCGAUUUGGUAUUUAUAGAAAUUUUAAUUUUUACUUAGUAGGCGUUUAUUACUAUUAUUACUUAACCUCUCCUAUAUAUACUUCUACAAUUAUAAUGCAUAGGACGAAGCAUAUUUAUUACUAUUAUUAUUAUUGAUAAAUAAAAUAAUAUAUAUUUAUGGUGUAUAAACUUAUCCUUACUUGCAAUUAUUUUAAAGUAGAAAAUAUAAAUUAGAAUUUAAUAAUUAAAUUCAACGUCUAUAUCUACUUGAAAUACCUUUAUAUAUUUAAGUUGUCAAUUGAUUUUUAUAUAGAAAAACAAAAACAAAAGAAAGAAAGAAAGGAAGAUAGAAAAGAAAAGAACAAAAAAAAAUUUCAAAUAAAAAACGUGAAAAAAAAGGUAAACUACUAAAAGAUAAUUCAGAGAUUGUUAGUUUUAAAUUAAAAAUAAUUAUAAAAUAAAACUAUAAAUUGAAAAUAGUUAGUUAUCACACUAGAGAGUUCUAAUUGGACUCUUAUUGUUGUUUAACCAAUCAUAUAAAAUGUUCUCUUUUUUUGUGAAUUUCAAUUGGAUAUAAAAUAUCUUCUUAAAGAUAAAUUAAUUUUUUUUAAAAAAUAAUAUUAGAUGUAUUUAUUCCAUAUAUAUCAAAUUGAUAUUAAUAAGCAGGACAAGAAACCACGUGGCAAAAUAUUAAAAAGCCACGUGGCAAUUUUUAGGACAUAACUUAAUAAUGUUGUAAUAAUAAUCUAUUAAAAUAUUAUAACCAAUAACCAAUAUUAUUCUUUAUUUUUUAAAAAAGAUUUCAUUAGCUUAAAAAUAGUAGUUUUUACUGUAGCAGUAGAUUAUUUUUGAAUCCAUAGCAUAAUAAUAAAAAUAGUAUAAGAUAAUAAUAAUAAGAAAAAAAUAAUAGUACGUAUAUAUAUAUACUAAUAUUAGUAGUAGCGAUAGUAGUAAUAUAUUAUAUUUUAAUACAUUUGAUAAAAUUCUAAAUGAAAGAUAAAGUCUAAUAGUAAUAUUAUUAUUAUUAUUAUUAUUAUUAUUAAUAAUAAUAAUAAUAAUCUCAUUGGUUUCAAAUUAUUAUCUCAGUUCAAAUAUAUACAUUAUUAGGUAAAUAUAUAUCACAUUUUAAAAAAUAAGGAUAAAAUAGAAUAAUAACAAACUAACCCUUUUUUAAUAAAUUAAUAUGAUAUUUGAAAUUUGAAUUUUGAAUGAAAUUUGAAUUGGAAUUGGAUUCUAUGUUCUUAGCCUCUUUUAUAUAUACUCCUACACCAUAAGUUUUAUUGGUGAAUUUGUUUACUACAUUCUUUAAAAUUUUUAUUUUAAAAAUUAUUUUUGAUUUAACAUUCUUCUUUUUUAUAUGGAGGAAGGAUAUGAUUUCUUCAUCUUCAACUUUCUCUAUUAUUGUAAACGAAAAGGAACAAGUCUACAUCCAUUCGCCCCUUACUUCAAAUGGUAACAUAUUUCAAGAAGAUAAGGAGAAAAAAAAUCGAUAAUAAUUGAAACUUUGGUAAGCAAAGGAUUUACAGGUAAACAGACUUUGAAUUAAUACAAUUUUUAUUUUUUAAUUUAUGAAGAAGUCUUCUUGAGAGUUUAUUCUAAUUUUUAAUGAUAAUUUUAUUGUUGUUGUUGACUUGCAGAAGAGACAAAGAAGACCGAAAGGAAGAAAAUAAAAGAUAAGUGCAGAGUAGAGUUUUCAAUUUUAUUGGUAUAGUUGGCCAGCU